rnacentral:rRNA from 1 species
MCUCCUACGGGAGGCAGCAGUGAGGAAUAUUGCGCAAUGGGGGAAACCCUGACGCAGCGAUGCCGCGUGGGUGAAGAAGGCCUUCGGGUCGUAAAGCCCUGUCAAACGGGAAGAACAGUUUGGAGACGAAUAAUCUUCAGGCCUGACGGUACCGUUGAAGGAAGCACCGGCUAACUCCGUGCCAGCAGCCGCGGUAAGACGGAGGGUGCGAGCGUUAUUCGGAUUUAUUGGGCGUAAAGAGUGUGUAGGCGGUCGGUCAAGUCCGAUGUGAAAGCCCGGGGCUUAACCUCGGAAGUGCGUUGGAAACUGGUCGACUUGAGUUCGGGAGAGGAAAGCGGAAUUCCGGGUGUAGAGGUGAAAUUCGUAGAUAUCCGGAGGAACACCGGUGGCGAAGGCGGCUUUCUGGACCGAAACUGACGCUGAGACACGAAAGCGUGGGGAGCAAACAGGAUUAGAUACCCCGGUAGUCCUAGCCGUAAACGAUGGACACUAGGUGUUGGUGGCAUCGACCCCUCCAGUGCCGCAGCUAACGCAUUAAGUGAUCCGCCUGGGGAGUACGGCCGCAAGGUUGAAACUCAAAUGAAUUGAGAA